AUGGGGGCUGGCCUCUUUGGAUACCUCGACCAAACCAUUGCCGAACCAGCAAAAACCCUAGUCAGCAAAACCUCCAAGGGCAAAGAUCAGGUCGUCCCUAACCCUGCUUAUGCUCCUUGGUUGAUCCAAGAUCAACAAAUCAUUGCCUAUCUACUCUGCAAUCUCUCAAAGGAGGUGCUAGUCCAGGUUGCUUCCCUAGAGACAUCUCAUGCAAUCUGGACAGCCCUUGCCAAUAUGUUUUCUGCCCAAUCCCGCUCCAAAGCAAACCACGUUCGCAUCUCCCUCACCACCGCCCAGAAAGGAACCCAAUCUGCCGCCACAUACUUCGGUCACAUGCGA
rnacentral:rRNA from 1 species